UGAGCAGCUCAGGACACUUGCAGGCUCCGUGGUACUGUACAUUAACUCUGCAGCAGCCCGCUCGGCUGCAGACUGCUGCCUGACAGGGGAUGUGCUGGCGUCAAGGGGGCCCUCUAGGUGGGUUCCCAGACACUGCAGAGUGAGCGCUCCCUGCCAGCCUCCAAGGGAGAGCGAGCAAAAGGGGUUAAAGGAAGAGCUCACCCGCCCUGAAGGAGCAGAUUUCUUUCAAUAUUAUUAUUUAAGAGCUAGAAGAACUGAAAAUAUCCCGGGUCCUGUUCUAAGAGCGUCAUGCGACUAUCUUACUCCUCAUCACAACACGAUAAGAACAUCUAAGAAAUAUUAGAAGUAACCAUGAAAUGAGGAUGUGGGGAAAAAUGUACACUCAUACAUUGCUGGCGGGACUGCAAACUGAUGCAACCACUAUGGAAAGCAGUAUGGAGAUUCCUAAGAAAACUUUGAAAGGA